GUGCUCACCUCAGCAGCACAUAUGCUAACACUAGAACAGUAUGGAGAAAAUUAGCAUGGUCCCUGUGCAGGGGUGACUGGAAAACUCAUGAAGCGUUCCUUUUUUAA